GGAGCGGUGGCUGAGUGGUUGAAAGCGCUCCCCUGCUAAGGGCGUAUACCUCAAAAGGGUAUCGAGGGUUCGAAUCCCUCCCGCUCCGCCA
rnacentral:tRNA from 1 species